rnacentral:rRNA from 1 species
AGAGUUUGAUCCUGGCUCAGAUUGAACGCUGGCGGCGUGCCUAACACAUGCAAGUCGAGCGGUAACAGGUGUAGCAAUACAUGCUGACGAGCGGCGGACGGGUGAGUAACGCUUGGGAAUCUGCCUAAUAGUGGGGGAUAACUCGGGGAAACUCGAGCUAAUACCGCAUACGCACUACGGUGGAAAGCUGGGGACCGCAAGGCCUGGCGCUAUCAGAUGAGCCCAAGUCGGAUUAGCUAGUUGGUAGGGUAAUGGCCUACCAAGGCGACGAUCCGUAACUGGUCUGAGAGGACGACCAGUCACACCGGAACUGAGACACGGUCCGGACUCCUACGGGAGGCAGCAGUGGGGAAUAUUGGACAAUGGGCGAAAGCCUGAUCCAGCGACGCCGCGUGGGUGAAGAAGGCCUGCGGGUUGUAAAGCCCUUUCAGUGGGGAAGAAAAGCCUCGAGUUAAUAUCUCGGGGUCUUGACGUAACCCAUAGAAGAAGCACCGGCUAACUCUGUGCCAGCCGCCGCGGUAAUUC